AAACCUGAGAGUUUGAUCAUGGCUCAGAACGAACGCUGGCGGCAUGCCUAACACAUGCAAGUCGAACGAGACCUUCGGGUCUAGUGGCGCACGGGUGCGUAACGCGUGGGAAUCUGCCCCUGGGUUCGGAAUAACAGCGAGAAAUUGCUGCUAAUACCGGAUGAUGACGAAAGUCCAAAGAUUUAUCGCCCAGGGAUGAGCCCGCGUAGGAUUAGCUAGUUGGUGAGGUAAAGGCUCACCAAGGCGACGAUCCUUAGCUGGUCUGAGAGGAUGAUCAGCCACACUGGGACUGAGACACGGCCCAGACUCCUACGGGAGG
rnacentral:rRNA from 1 species